rnacentral:snoRNA from 1 species
CAAUCCAGUCUCUGACAAAGCCUAUGUGAGUAGGGAUAUCUGAGUGUUGAUAAAUGCCAAUAGCUCUGAUUAAAAAAA